GAUGAACGCUGGCGGCGUGCCUAAUACAUGCAAGUCGAGCGAACGGACGAGAAGCUUGCUUCUCUGAUGUUAGCGGCGGACGGGUGAGUAACACGUGGAUAACCUACCUAUAAGACUGGGAUAACUUCGGGAAACCGGAGCUAAUACCGGAUAAUAUUUUGAACCGCAUGGUUCAAAAGUGAAAGACGGUCUUGCUGUCACUUAUAGAUGGAUCCGCGCUGCAUUAGCUAGUUGGUAAGGUAACGGCUUACCAAGGCAACGAUGCAUAGCCGACCUGAGAGGGUGAUCGGCCACAAUGGAACUGAGACACGGUCCAGACUCCUACGGGAGGAAGCAGUAGGGAAUCUUCCGCAAUGGGCGAAAGCCUGACGGAGCAACGCCGCGUGAGUGAUGAAGGUCUUCGGAUCGUAAAACUCUGUUAUUAGGGAAGAACAUAUGUGUAAGUAACUGUGCACAUCUUGACGGUACCUAAUCAGAAAGCCACGGCUAACUACGUG
rnacentral:rRNA from 1 species